rnacentral:lncRNA from 1 species
UUCGCUGUCACCUUCUUCGGAAGAUUUACCGAUUUAGUUUUAUCUAUCUACGUACUUUAUGCUUUCUUGUAAAGAGGAUGUAAUAUUCCCUCUUGUAUUGUAUCAGAACAAGGUUGAAUGAAUGAAAUUAAGUGGUGUUACAAAAAAAAUACUAUGUUCAUAUGAACAAAGAAUACAUUGCAACGUUUAGAUUAAUAAUUUCAGUGUUUCGAAUAAACAAUAUGAGUUAUGGAAAAUAUAAAGUACCUUAAGUCCAUAAAGUAGAGAAACCAGACCUUAAGACCAAGGCUUCGAGUUCUGUCUAGAUUAAGGUAAAACUCACACAUCAUAUAAGAUCAUAUUUCCCAUGUUUUGAGCGCCAGAUCAUCAUGAAGAGUGCUCUCGAUUUUCUUGGCACCAACAUCUUUCCAGUCUAUUGAAAGCAAUGUCCCAAUAGAUUCCACCUGUUGAUUGUGCAAAACUGCAAAAGAGUCAAUCAAUAUGCCAAAAACAUUGUAAUCUCCAUGAGAGAAGAAAGACUAAAUAUGAAUAUAGAUAGAUAGAUACUCACAAAUGAUUUGCUCUAGCACUUCUCAUAUCCUCAUCAGAAUUCAAAUAUAUCUCACGGAAAAACUUGUUCAAAGAAGCGUCUCCGAGAACAAGGUUGAAUGAAUGAAAUUAAGUGGUGUUACAAAAAAAAUACUAUGUUCAUAUGAACAAAGAAUACAUUGCAACGUUUAGAUUAAUAAUUUCAGUGUUUCGAAUAAACAAUAUGAGUUAUGGAAAAUAUAAAGUACCUUAAGUCCAUAAAGUAGAGAAACCAGACCUUAAGACCAAGGCUUCGAGUUCUGUCUAGAUUAAGGUAAAACUCACACAUCAUAUAAGAUCAUAUUUCCCAUGUUUUGAGCGCCAGAUCAUCAUGAAGAGUGCUC